rnacentral:rRNA from 1 species
UACGGGGGGGGCAAGCGUUGUUCGGAAUUACUGGGCGUAAAGGGCUCGUAGGUGGCCAACUAAGUCAUACGUGAAAUCCCUCAGCUUAACUGAGGAAGUGCAUCCAAAACUGAGUAGCUAGAGUACGAAAGAGGGUCGCGGAAUUCCCGGUGUAGAGGUGAAAUUCGUAGAUAUCGGGAGGAACACCGGUGGCGAAGGCGGCGACCUGGGUCGAGACUGACGCUGAGGCGCGAAAGCGUGGGGAGCAAACAGG